GUUAAGCGACUAAGCGUACACGGUGGAUGCCUAGGCAGUCAGAGGCGAUGAAGGGCGUGCUAAUCUGCGAAAAGCGUCGGUAAGCUGAUAUGAAGCGUUAUAACCGACGAUACCCGAAUGGGGAAACCCAGUGCAAUACGUUGCACUAUCGUUAGAUGAAUACAUAGUCUAACGAGGCGAACCGGGGGAACUGAAACAUCUAAGUACCCCGAGGAAAAGAAAUCAACCGAGAUUCCCCCAGUAGCGGCGAGCGAACGGGGAGGAGCCCAGAGUCUGAAUCAGUUUGUGUGUUAGUGGAAGCGUCUGGAAAGUCGCACGGUACAGGGUGAUAGUCCCGUACACCAAAAUGCACAGGCUGUGAACUCGAUGAGUAGGGCGGGACACGUGACAUCCUGUCUGAAUAUGGGGGGACCAUCCUCCAAGGCUAAAUACUCCUGACUGACCGAUAGUGAACCAGUACCGUGAGGGAAAGGCGAAAAGAACCCCGGCGAGGGGAGUGAAAUAGAACCUGAAACCGUGUACGUACAAGCAGUGGGAGCACCUUCGUGGUGUGACUGCGUACCUUUUGUAUAAUGGGUCAGCGACUUAUAUUUUGUAGCAAGGUUAACCGAAUAGGGGAGCCGUAGGGAAACCGAGUCUUAACUGGGCGUCUAGUUGCAAGGUAUAGACCCGAAACCCGGUGAUCUAGCCAUGGGCAGGUUGAAGGUUGGGUAACACUAACUGGAGGACCGAACCGACUAAUGUUGAAAAAUUAGCGGAUGACUUGUGGCUGGGGGUGAAAGGCCAAUCAAACCGGGAGAUAGCUGGUUCUCCCCGAAAGCUAUUUAGGUAGCGCCUCGUGAACUCAUCUUCGGGGGUAGAGCACUGUUUCGGCUAGGGGGCCAUCCCGGCUUACCAAACCGAUGCAAACUCCGAAUACCGAAGAAUGUUAUCACGGGAGACACACGGCGGGUGCUAACGUCCGUCGUGAAGAGGGAAACAACCCAGACCGCCAGCUAAGGUCCCAAAGUCAUGGUUAAGUGGGAAACGAUGUGGGAAGGCACAGACAGCCAGGAUGUUGGCUUAGAAGCAGCCAUCAUUUAAAGAAAGCGUAAUAGCUCACUGGUCGAGUCGGCCUGCGCGGAAGAUGUAACGGGGCUAAACCAUGCACCGAAGCUGCGGCAGCGACACUUAGGUGUUGUUGGGUAGGGGAGCGUUCUGUAAGCCGUUGAAGGUGACCUGUGAGGGUUGCUGGAGGUAUCAGAAGUGCGAAUGCUGACAUAAGUAACGAUAAUGCGGGUGAAAAACCCGCACGCCGGAAGACCAAGGGUUCCUGUCCAACGUUAAUCGGGGCAGGGUGAGUCGACCCCUAAGGCGAGGCUGAAAAGCGUAGUCGAUGGGAAACAGGUUAAUAUUCCUGUACUUGGUGUUACUGCGAAGGGGGGACGGAGAAGGCUAGGCUGGCCGGGCGACGGUUGUCCCGGUUUAAGCGUGUAGGGGGAGUGACCAGGUAAAUCCGGUUGCUUAUCAACCCUGAGGCGUGAUGACGAUGCACCACGGUGCAGAAGCAGUUGAUGCCAUGCUUCCAGGAAAAGCCUCUAAGCAUCAGGUAACAUUAAAUCGUACCCCAAACCGACACAGGUGGUCAGGUAGAGAAUACUCAGGCGCUUGAGAGAACUCGGGUGAAGGAACUAGGCAAAAUGGUGCCGUAACUUCGGGAGAAGGCACGCUGGCGUUAGGUGAAAGGACUAGCUCCUGGAGCUGAAGCCAGUCGCAGAUACCAGCUGGCUGCAACUGUUUAAUAAAAACACAGCACUGUGCAAACACGAAAGUGGACGUAUACGGUGUGACGCCUGCCCGGUGCUGGAAGGUUAAUUGAUGGGGUCAGCCGCAAGGCGAAGCUCUUGAUCGAAGCCCCAGUAAACGGCGGCCGUAACUAUAACGGUCCUAAGGUAGCGAAAUUCCUUGUCGGGUAAGUUCCGACCUGCACGAAUGGCGUAAUGAUGGCCAGGCUGUCUCCACCCGAGACUCAGUGAAAUUGAACUCGCUGUGAAGAUGCAGUGUACCCGCGGCAAGACGGAAAGACCCCGUGAACCUUUACUAUAGCUUGACACUGAACAUUGAGCCUUGAUGUGUAGGAUAGGUGGGAGGCCUUGAAGUGUGGACGCCAGUCUGCAUGGAGCCAACCUUGAAAUACCACCCUUUAAUGUUUGAUGUUCUAACUCGGCCCCAUGAUCUGGGGUGAGGACAGUGUCUGGUGGGUAGUUUGACUGGGGCGGUCUCCUCCCAAAGAGUAACGGAGGAGCACGAAGGUUAGCUAAUCACGGUCGGACAUCGUGAGGUUAGUGCAAAGGCAUAAGCUAGCUUGACUGCGAGAGUGACGGCUCGAGCAGGUACGAAAGUAGGUCUUAGUGAUCCGGUGGUUCUGAAUGGAAGGGCCAUCGCUCAACGGAUAAAAGGUACUCCGGGGAUAACAGGCUGAUACCGCCCAAGAGUUCAUAUCGACGGCGGUGUUUGGCACCUCGAUGUCGGCUCAUCACAUCCUGGGGCUGAAGUAGGUCCCAAGGGUAUGGCUGUUCGCCAUUUAAAGUGGUACGCGAGCUGGGUUUAGAACGUCGUGAGACAGUUCGGUCCCUAUCUGCCGUGGGCGUUGGAAGAUUGAGAGGGGCUGCUCCUAGUACGAGAGGACCGGAGUGGACGAAUCACUGGUGUUCGGGUUGUCAUGCCAAUGGCAUUGCCCGGUAGCUAAAUUCGGAAGAGAUAACCGCUGAAAGCAUCUAAGCGGGAAACUUGCCUCGAGAUGAGUCUUCCCUGGGGCUUAAAGCCCCCUGAAGGAACGUUAAAGACUAUGACGUUGAUAGGCUGGGUGUGUAAGUGCAGCGAUGUAUUGAGCUAACCAGUACUAAUGAUCCGUGAGGCUUAACC
rnacentral:rRNA from 1 species